rnacentral:rRNA from 1 species
UACAACAUAGCGUUAAUUCACCAUAUCCCAUUAGAACUUUGCAGUUAAGUGUGCUUAGGCUAGAAUAGUACUGGGAUGGGUGACCACCCAGGAAGUCCUAGUGUUUUAC